UACGUAGGGUGCAAGCGUUGUCCGGAAUUAUUGGGCGUAAAGAGCUCGUAGGCGGUUUGUCGCGUCGGAUGUGAAAAAUCAGGGCUCAACCCUGGACCUGCAUUCGAUACGGGCAGACUAGAGUUCGGUAGGGGGAGACUGGAAUUCCUGGUGUAGCGGUGAAAAUGCGCAGAUAUCAGGAGGAACACCGGUGGCGAAGGCGGGUCUCUGGGCCGAAACUGACGCUGAGGAGCGAAAGCGUGGGGAGCAAACAGG
rnacentral:rRNA from 1 species